rnacentral:sRNA from 1 species
CCAAUAGCGUAUAUUAAAGUUGUUGUGGUUAAAAAGCUCGUAGUUGAACCUUGGGCCUGGCUGGCCGGUCCGCCUCACCGCGUGUACUGGUCCGGCCGGGCCUUUCCCUCUGUGGAACCCCAUGCCCUUCACUGGGUGUGGUGGGGAAACAGGACUUUUACUGUGAAAAAAUUAGAGUGCUCCAGGCAGGCCUAUGCUCGAAUACAUUAGCAUGGAAUAAUAGAAUAGGACGUGUGGUUCUAUUUUGUUGGUUUCUAGGACCGCCGUAAUGAUUAAUAGGGACAGUCGGGGGCAUCAGUAUUCAAUUGUCAGAGGUGAAAUUCUUGGAUUUAUUGAAGACUAACUACUGCGAAAGCAUUUGCCAAGGAUGUUUUCAUUAAUCAGGAACGAAAGUUAGGGGAUCGAAGACGAUCAGAUACCGUCGUAGUCUUAACCAUAAACUAUGCCGACUAGGGAUCGGACGGUGUUAUUUUUUGACCCGUUCGGCACCUUACG